UGACGUCACCCAUUGGUUUCUGCAGAGUGAGAAUGAGGCUAGUAGGAGGCGUUCCCCCAGCGCCAUCUUGCCGGUGCUUACUCCUCCUCGUUCCUGGCUAACGAAUCAAUGGGCAAGGAGGAGGAGCGCGAGUGAAGACUGACAGCCGAGCGAUGCUCGCGGAGCUCAGCGUUUCCAGGUUAGCUCAGGGCUAAGGAGCUAGGCUACAUGCUACCCGACGCUGCUAACCGGUUAGCGCUGUGCUGUAGCUGGUCCGGCUGGUCACGAUCUUUACGAACUCACUAGAGAGGGAAGUGGAGAGACUUGAUGUGGACUGUUAUCAACAGCUCUGUGGGAGAUUAUCACCUUGAAUAUUACAGAUGAGAUGAAGCACUGCACCACCGGAUCUGUCCUCAGCAGCAACAUGGUGGAGAUCGGCAGCUUCAGGCUGGUCAACACGAGGACGACCUGCACAAGCUUCAACGGCCCAACACUUCACGUUUUCUCCCUCAACUAAAGAUGGCCUGCAACUGUUUAGAGUUGGCAAUCAUUGCUAUGUGUCAUGGAUAAUAGAUUUAAUUUCUAUCUUCAUUAUGGUUGGUUAAAAAAAUUAUUAUCUUUUACAAUCUGAUUUGAUACACUUUAGAUAAAAACCCAGUGCUUUAUUUUUCUAAUUCCCCAUAAGAGACACAACACCGUCAGCACAGCUGAGUCCUUCAGGCUAGAAAUGUACAGUACACAGUUCAUGCUAAAAUUGUAGUUGCCAUGUAACAAUCAAGUUGCUUGAUAACUCAGAAGUUAUUAAAACAUUUCUGUGUACCCUUUUGUCAAUGCUCAAGUGAUGUCUCUUAAGUGUUGACUGCAGAGACUCAGAAUCCAGUUCUGUCUCUUCAUGUUGAUCACCCACAGGUCUAGCCUCUCAGGAUCACCUAGAUGGAAACUACACGUACAAAAAAAUAGGUAAAAAACAAUAUCUGUCAGGUUACCAUCUUCAUACUUAUGUAUAUGCAAACAAUAAAAUGUCAAUAACUUCAGUCUUUUUAGAUAUCCCAGUUCACAUAAUC